AAAGAAUCUAACAAGGAUUCCCCUAGUAACUGCGAGUGAAGCGGGAAAAGCUCAAAUUUAAAAUCUGGCGGUCUUUGGCCGUCCGAGUUGUAGUCUGGAGAAGUGCUUUCCGCGCUGGACCGUGUAUAAGUCUCUUGGAACAGAGCGUCAUAGAGGGUGAGAAUCCCGUCUUUGACACGGACUACCAGUGCUUUGUGAUGCGCUCUCAAAGAGUCGAGUUGUUUGGGAAUGCAGCUCAAAAUGGGUGGUGAAUUCCAUCUAAAGCUAAAUAUUGGCGAGAGACCGAUAGCGAACAAGUACCGUGAGGGAAAGAUGAAAAGCACUUUGGAAAGAGAGUUAAACAGUACGUGAAAUUGCUGAAAGGGAAACGCUUGAAGUCAGUCGCGUUGUCCGGAACUCAGCCUUGCUUUCGCUUGGUGCACUUUCCGGAUGACGGGUCAGCAUCGAUUUUGACCGUCGGAAAAGGGCUGGAGUAAUGUGGCACCUCCGGGUGUGUUAUAGACUCUGGUCGCAUACGGCGGUUGGGAUCGAGGAACGCAGCGCGCCGCAAGGCAGGGGUUCGCCCACUUUCGCGCUUAGGAUGCUGGCAUAAUGGCUUUAAACGACCCGUCUUGAAACACGGACCAAGGAGUCUAACAUACCUGCGAGUGUUUGGGUGGAAAACCCGAGCGCGUAAUGAAAGUGAAAGUUGAGAUCCCUGUCGUGGGGAGCAUCGACGCCCGGACCUGACGUUCUCUGACGGAUCCGCGGUAGAGCAUGUAUGUUGGGACCCGAAAGAUGGUGAACUAUGCCUGAAUAGGGUGAAGCCAGAGGAAACUCUGGUGGAGGCUCGUAGCGAUUCUGACGUGCAAAUCGAUCGUCAAAUUUGGGUAUAGGGGCGAAAGACUAAUCGAACC
rnacentral:rRNA from 1 species